UAAAAACAGCUUUAAUAAUGUUAUAAAAUCAACCCAGUUUGUCCAAUAAUUGGUAAAUUUGUCUGAAUCAAGUCUGACAGAAAAAGUCAACUUCUCCAUCCUAUAGAUGUCAUCCAAAACCUCUACCCAGUCCUCCAUUUUU